rnacentral:rRNA from 1 species
GAGUUUGAUCCUGGCUCAGGAUGAACGCUAGCGGCAGGCUUAACACAUGCAAGUCGAGGGGUAUAGGUUUUCGGACCUAGAGACCGGCGCACGGGUGCGUAACGCGUAUGUAAUCUACCUUUUACAGAGGGAUAGCCCAGAGAAAUUUGGAUUAAUACCUCAUAGUAUUAUUGAAUGGCAUCAUUUGAUAAUUAAAGUUCCAACGGUAAAGAUGAGCAUGCGUCCCAUUAGCUAGAUGGUAAGGUAACGGCUUACCAUGGCGACGAUGGGUAGGGGUCCUGAGAGGGAGAUCCCCCACACUGGUACUGAGACACGGACCAGACUCCUACGGGAGGCAGCAGUGAGGAAUAUUGGUCAAUGGGCGCAAGCCUGAACCAGCCAUGCCGCGUGCAGGAUGACGGUCCUAUGGAUUGUAAACUGCUUUUGUACGGGAAGAACACUCCUACGUGUAGGAGCUUGACGGUACCGUAAGAAUAAGGAUCGGCUAACUCCGUGCCAGCAGCCGCCGUAAC